rnacentral:rRNA from 1 species
AGAACGAACGCUGGCGGCAUGCCUAACACAUGCAAGUCGAACGAGACCUUCGGGUCUAGUGGCGCACGGGUGCGUAACGCGUGGGAAUCUGCCCUUGGGUUCGGAAUAACAGCGAGAAAUUGCUGCUAAUACCGGAUGAUGACGUAAGUCCAAAGAUUUAUCGCCCAAGGAUGAGCCCGCGUAGGAUUAGCUUGUUGGUGAGGUAAGAGCUCACCAAGGCGACGAUCCUUAGCUGGUCUGAGAGGAUGAUCAGCCACACUGGGACUGAGACACGGCCAGACUCCUACGGGAGCAGCAGGUGGGAAUAUGGACAAGUGGGCGAAAGCCUGAAGUCCAGGCAAUGCCGCGUGAGUGAUGAGGCUAGGUUGUAAGUCUCGUUACCGG